rnacentral:rRNA from 1 species
CAGCCGCCACGGUAAUACGAAGGGGGCUAGCGUUGUUCGGAUUUACUGGGCGUAAAGGGCGCGUAGGCGGAUUUGUAAGUCAGGGGUGAAAUCCCAAGGCUCAACCUUGGAACUGCCUUUGAUACUGUGGAUCUUGAGUCCGGGAGAGGUGAGUGGAACUGCGAGUGUAGAGGUGAAAUUCGUAGAUAUUCGCAAGAACACCAGUGGCGAAGGCGGCUCACUGGCCCGGAACUGACGCUGAGGCGCGAAAGCGUGGGGAGCAAACAGGAUUAGAUACCCGAGUAGUCCCUGUCUCUUAUAA